UUGAUGUUAUUUAAUUUUGAUCGGAUUAUUAACAUUAAGCAGCUUCUGAAUUUUUUGAUCAGUAUCCAGAUUUUUCAGGAUCUAUACUAAAAAAUGUAUUUCAUAUUCCUCAAAGAAAUAACAUCAGUGAAUUUUCAAUUAAAGUACAAGAUCACCAAGUGCUGGAUCCCAUUCUAGAUCAUAAUUUUUACCAUUACGAGAAACUUUGACCUUAGAGUAACCGUAACUUCUUCGCCAUGGAUUUCUUAACUUAGGGCAAGGUUGGAUGUUUGCAGACUAAAUUUGGCUUGAGAUGAUCUCUGAUCUGCACUUGAAUUAUCCAAUCAAGGUGACAGUCACAGUUCCAAGGAUUCCCUGUUAAA